AUGGGCUGUCAAGCACAACAGUGGACCGAUAGAGAAGAGAUUUGGGCCCAACCCAAGCAAGGAAGGAAGGAAGGAAGGAAAGUCGUCGUCUUCUCCGCAGCAACCAACCCUAUCCAUCCAUCUCUCUCUCUCACUCCGCAGGGCAGGUCACAGUCACAGGAGCCGCCGGAGGGAGCGAUGGAGACCUCCCUGCGGCUGCGCGGCGCCGACAGCACCUCCGGGCAGCAGCUGGGCCUCCGCAUCCACGCCAAGCAGAAGCUGCCCCUCGCAUACAACGCGCUCCUCCAGGCUCACGCGGAGAUCGACACCGCCACCCGGAAGCCCAGCCUCCUCGCCAUCCUCGCAAGGCACUUCUUCCCACAGCUGUCGGCCAACGUCGGGGCCGGGGUCCAGCUGGAGAAGGGCAACAUCUUCAGGUACACCCUCCGGGGGAAGAAAGCUGUCUCCUUCACCCACGACGGCCUCCUCGGCCUCAACAUCAAGGGCCGCCUCCUCGCCGACAAAAACUUCAAGCCGAGGAGGAAGAACGGCGCCAUCGAGCUCGCCUGGACCAUACUCGACUUCAGAAGGGGCCAGGACGUCAGGAUCAAGGCCGGAUACGAGCUAUACCGCAAGAUGCCUUAUUUCCAGCUGAGGGAGAACAACUGGACGCUUAAUGGUUACAUGGACGGGAAAUGGGAUGUCAGAUUCGAUAUGUGA
rnacentral:rRNA from 1 species